UAGCCUUCAACCGGAUUAUCUUACAUCCCAGAAGAAGUGUGUAUGGGAGCAAAUAAAUAGGGGUGACUCCAAGGGUCAUGGGAAAUUUCCCUGGUAUACAGAACAAUGUGAGAUAUGUCUAAGAAAAAUAUUUAGUUUCAUAAUUUGGGAAUAGGAUUUCAUUUAGCACUUUUGAAACAUGUGUCUAAAUCAGUACACAGCUAGCUCAGGAAAACAGUACUGAAGUGCCUGAGCUUUCAUUCAUUUCAUUGUUAGCUCUGAUGGUCGUUAGGUUCCCAAGCAGUGACAGAGCACGGAAGCUGCCUGGAUCAUGAAACACAUCCAUUCCAUUUCCUAGGUGUUGCAUGUGGGUUAUUUUGUUGUUUUUGCUGUGUGAUGUCCAGAAUUGGCCACAUUAUACUUUAAUUCUCCAUUUCCUUUAGGCUCAUAGGACUCUUCGCUGAAAGGAAGAUUUGAUGUUGUUUUGUCCAAUCCACCAUCUGGUGCUAAAUCUGUAUACCCUCCUUGAAUUUCCCAACCUGUUUAGCAAAUAGCAGAUUUUGAGGGAAACACUUUGUCUUAGUCUGUUUGUGCUGCUACAAAGGACUAUCUGAUUGGUAAUUUAUAAAGAAAAGAGGUUUUAUUGUUUGUUUGUUUGUUUGUUUCACUGUUCCGUAGGCUGUACAAGGAGCAUGGCACCAGCAUGUGCUUCUGGUGAGGGCCUCAGGAAGCUUCCGCUCUUGAUGGACAGUGAAGGGGGGACAGGCAUACAUGGUGAGAGGAAGGAAGCCAAAGGAAGAGAGAGGUGCCAGACUCUUUUCAACGACAAUUCUCAACAACUCACUCCCCAUGAGAAUGUCACCAAGCCAUUCAUGAGGUAGCUGCCCCAACAACUCAACACGUCUCCCACCAGGCUCACCUCCAACACUGGAGAUCAAAUUUCAACAAGAUACUUAAUGGUGCAAACUGCAUCCAAAUCAUAGCACAUUAAAUGAACUACCUACUUCUCUGUCACUCACCUUUGAGUUGCUGAAUAUCAGAAGGUUCCAGAUCUAGAUAGAUACAGCUCUAGACAGAUCCAGAUAAUUUUUCUGUAAGCCAGAAAAAUGGGGGCUCACCAUGAGACUACCUAUUGUAGAAACAUACGGCUUUGAUAUACAAGGAACCCUUUUUCCAGUCUGUAUGCUGUAUGCUUCUUCCCCCUCCCAUUUUUGUUCCUCCUAGAGGCUAACUUCCAAAGUUCCUACUAAGCCUUGAUAAAGCAAGGUUUGAACCCUGUGAGUAUUCCUGCCCCAGGUGCUGGUCAGAUGAUGGUCACAGGACAGACUCUCCUACCCAAACCUUAGCAUGAUAGUAAAAACCUUAGCACCGCCAUUGACUAUUUCACUUCUGACUGGCAGUUUCUGAGAAUCCCUUUACUGUGAUUUUUGAAAUAAUCUGAUGCCUUGAUUUUCUUGAUAGAACCUAAAAUAUAGCAUUUGGAGCAUGUGUCCUUUUUAGAACCACAUUAAUAAUGUAAAUACCAGUCAUCGUAUUUAUGGCACAGAGUUCACCGCUAGCAGUUUAAAGUCAGAAGCGUAGAAAGAAAACCAUGUGAGUUUUUAUCCAGCUUCUACCACUUGCUGAUGGCAUUACGUGACCUUAAGCAAAUAAACUUCUUGGUUUCCUAAUCUACAAAAUGGGAAUAAUACAAAGACAUGUUAAGUGCCAUGGGCAACGCUCAUCCACAGUGUAAGUGUGAGAUGAGUAUGGGCUAUUGUUGCUAUUAGUCUUGAAUAAACUAUGAUGAGAAGGCCAUCCCUGACCAUUGCCACCCAGGUGGUGAAAAGCUGAACCCAAGCAGAGUUCUCAACCUUCUCUGUACACGCUAUGGACGCUGAAGACAUUUCACAGAAUUGUUACACUAGACCCUGCACUGUUUACCUUUAGCCAAAUCUACUGAGCUUUACUCUCAUAAAUAGAUGACAAGCAAUUACAUCUUAAAAGAGAUCUUCCGUGGUGUCCUCUUACGGUAAGCAGAUGUUGGCAUCAGGAAAUUGUCUUGCAUCUUAAGUCUUUUGUAUUGCAGCUUAAACCAAUUUCCUUAUUCUGUUCUUGAUGAAGAGGAAAAGCCUCUGCUCACUAGAUUCUGUAAAUAAUGAGUUGGGUAGGGACAGAGGCAGGAAAUGAGAACGCCCACCUUGAGCUAGGAGAUCAUCAUUUUGCAUCCAGUUUUCUCCCAGGCAGCAAAGUGAGCCCAGUUACUAAGUGCGUGCACUUUUGGGCCUCACAUCUGGAUUAAAAUCUUGCCUUUGCCACAUACUGACCAUGAGAACUUGGGCGAGUUACUGAACCUUUCUGGGACUCAGUUUCUUCAUCUGUUAAAAUGAGGUAACAACAGUACUUACUGCAUAGUGUUGACAAGUAGAUUUAUAAAAUCA
rnacentral:lncRNA from 1 species